GACGAACGCUGGCGGCGUGCUUAACACAUGCAAGUCGAACGGAAAGGCCCUGCUUUUGUGGGGUGCUCGAGUGGCGAACGGGUGAGUAACACGUGAGUAACCUGCCCUUGACUUCGGGAUAACUUCAGGCAACUGGGGCUAAUACCGGAUAGGAGCUCCUGCUGCAUGGUGGGGGUUGGAAAGUUUAGGCGGUUGGGGAGGGGCUCGCGGCUUAUCAGCUUGUUGGUGGGGUAGUCGCUUACCAAGGCUCUGACGGGUAGCCGGCCUGAGAGGGUGACCGGCCACAUUGGCACUGAGAUACGGCCCAGACUCGUACGGGAGGCAACAGUGGGGAAUAUAGCACAAAAGACCGAAGUCUGAUGCAGCAACGCCGCGUGCGGGAUGACGGCCUUCGGGUUGUAAACCGUUAUCGCCUGUGACGAAGCGUGAGUGACGGUAAUGGGUAAAGAAGCACCGGCUAACUACGUG
rnacentral:rRNA from 1 species